GAUAAAUAAUACGGGCGUCAGUACCGAAGGAGGUAAAGUUUGGAACUUCGUUGACUCGUCGUGGAAUUUAAAUUCCCCUUAAACUCUCCAACUCGACCACAAAUCCAGCAAUUUGAACUACAAGAGCCCGUGAUCGAACUUUUUAGGGUGUGAUGGGCGACAGACAAAUUUUUUUUCCUCGAAUCAAUAGUUGAUGACGUUAACUCAUGGGUUGGGAAAGUUGAAUGAACCAGAAGUGUUUCAAGGUCAACGCAACCAAUAGCAUGCUUCACGUCUAAUUUGCAUUUCCCGCUUCGAGGAUCGACAUAUAGCGAUUGUAUGACCCAAUGCAAAAUUAAGGGCCGUAUUCCAGAGAGGUCACGUGGGCAAUUCAUUUUUGCAAUUCAAUUUUGAAAACAUAAUUUUUUGAUUCUCAUAAAAUCCCACUUCCGCUAUGUCGCCAUCAUAAUUUCAUUUCGAAAUUUAAGUUGCCUCGAAACCAAGAGAUUAGCUUGUCUGUAAUUAGAAAAACCAAUUCCGUCAGGUGACCCCCCCCCUCCACCCGGAAGACACCACUUAAUUUAAAUACUAUCGCUCUCACGAAUGGAACCAGUGAAUAAAGACCAUCCGGACGGUGAAUGCGAAAUUCUAGUGGAGCUGCGCGUCAUCGAUAGAACGAUUCAUUUAUUCCAAAGAAAAUUCAUUAACUAUUAACGAACGGUACAGCCAAACAUAAUGAAAUGAAUAUUCAUUAAUAGUUAACGGCGGCGAAUGUCCAGUCGAACGAGGUUUACUAAGUACACAUUCAUUAAUUAUUAGUGAAUAAAUAUUUGGGGGAAUGAAAUAGAUUUUAAUCUGCAACUAAAAUUCAUUUUUUAUUGUUGGAUUUUUCAUGAAAUAAAUAAAAAACAAAAAUCGAUCUUAUUUUCUUCUGAGUGUUUAUACUUUAAAUUGAAAAACAUUUUUAUGGGUUGGAAUUCUGAGCAGUGUGAGAGUGUAGUUCCAGUUCAGUUGAGAUUCAUGGAAGAUGAUUUCAAUUCAACGGGAUUCAGGCAGGAUUGUGUUAAUUCAGCAGGAUUCACGCAGGAUCGUGUCAGUUCAACGGGAUUCACGCAGGAUCAUUUCAAUUCAACAGGAUCCACGCAGAAUCGUUUCAAUUAAACGGUAUUAACCUCGGAAUUCACGCAGGAUCAUUUCAAUUCAACAGGAUUCACGCAGGAUUGUUCCAAUUAAACGGGAUUCACCUCAGAAUUCACGCAGGAUCAUUUCAAUUCAACAGGAUUGACGCAGAAUAUUUUUAGUUUGACGGGAUUCACGCAGAUAGAUUUCAAGUCAGCAGGAUUUCGUCAGGACAUUUUCAGUUCCGCGGCAUUCACGCAAAAUAUUUUCAAUUUGACAGGAUUCACGCAGAAUUCCUUCAAAUGGACUGGAUUCACGAGGGCGGGAUGGUUUCAGCUCAGCGGGAUUCACAGAAAAGUCUUUCAAUUCAAUGGGAUUCACGCAGAAUGGCAGGAAAUUCGGCGGGAGUCCCGUGGGAUAAUUUUAAUUCAGGGGGAUUCACGAAGGAUAUCUUCAAUCUGGCGGGAUUCACGCAGGAUGAUUUCAAUUUAACGGGAUGGACGCAAAAUAGUUUGUACUCAAGGGGAGUCACGCAUGAAUCACGAGUUAUAUCCUGCGUGAAUCCCCCCGAACUAAAAUUAUUUCACGUGAAUCCCGCGUCAAACUUGAGAUAUCCUGCGUGAAUCCUUCCGAAUUGAAACAAUCCUACAUGAAUUAUUAUAUAUUUAAAGUUCUGUAUUUUUUGUUUCUUGUUCUAAAAAAUUAGCUAAUUCCCGAAUUCGAGAUAAUGACAUUCAGAAGCCGAAAUCGUGGAGAACAUUUUGACAUUAACUCGAACAAGUGACCCAUUGUAGACGUCACCGAGAAAUAUGGCAAACACUUUGGCCGUUUAUGACCUAGACAACCCAACAGACAAAAGAGCCUUGUCCUUAUGUCAGACCUCGUACCCUGAACGAACCGAUAACUAGCGGCACUCUCCAACGGUCUCUCGAGUUAAUCACAUCGAAUCAUGAAGUCAACUAUAAUUAUAUCGAAUCGUUCCCUAAAUCCCAUAUGUUAAAAACUGAAUAAACUGUCGUAUAAUUAAUUAGUAAGAGAUAUUAAUUUUCAAUAAUAUGAAAAAUUUCGAUUUGAUUGAAGUUUGGGCCAAGUUUCGAAGAACCUUACCCCAACACCAUUUUUGCAAAAAAAAAUCGCACACGAGUUAUCUUGGGUUUUCAACAAGAAUUGCUAAAUAAUAUAAAAUUGACGGUUGACUUUGAAGUAAAAUUUACCCCGGUUCGUGUGAAUAGAAACAGCCUCUAAAUUUUUUAAUGAUACCUACUAAACCUUCAAAAUAAUUCUAGAACAACCUAUUCAUAGAAUUCACCUCAACCUCCAUCGUCAUCCCUAUAACAAUUCUCAAAACUAAACCAAUCAACUGCAAUGAAAGUCAGCAAAAACCUGACUCUUGCCUUUCCAAAACGUCAUACGAUCCCCAGUAAUUCAACUCUCCAUGGCCUCCUCCACUUGCCUCAUCACUCGCAACAUAAAUAUUUCCAUUCGUCCAUUGAAAUGUCCCUCACCCUUGCUCAUCAGAACAUUACAAACUAAAAUAAAAAUAAAUCCGGUCCCUUCCCACGAUACCAGCU